CCCCUCCUGUGCUCUGUCCUGGGACCUAGCAUAGUUUUAUUAUAAACUGAUCUAUUUGAUGAGCUUUUAGUAUUUAGUAGCUUUGCUUCACCUCUAUUGUUUGUGCCUUAAAAGCUUUCCCUGGCCUCAUGAGUGGAAAACUUCCAGUCAGAAGGAAGCACAAAGCCCUUUGUGAGAAGGGUGCUGUGUUCCAGAGGCCACCGGUCUGUUUUUACCUGAGGUCAUUUCCCUCCUAAAUGGUAAACAGGCUGCCUGACAAGGAGCCACAGCCUGUUCCUAGAAAAAUCUUAGAGCUGGGAAGUGUCCUGUGAGAUGCCUCUAAGUGGGGAGGACCACAGCCCACAUCACUUUGGGGAGAGGAGGCCGGAGCUGUGUUACAGCCAAGCUCAUCCUGAUUAGCUGGCCCCCAUUCCCCUCAUCCGGGGAUCCCAAGGGCAGAAGGGAGAACUCGGUAUUAAUGGGCAUCUGCACUUAUGAAGCCCCAGGUAAAUGCAGCAUUGCCUUGAAUGCACGGGGAGCCAAAAACCUGCUUCCAACUGUGUUCUGCUUUUGUUUUCCAAGGCUUUCUUUGCUUUCCAUGAAAUUUUCAAGUAUUGAGUAUCAUGUCCAGCAACACUUGCUAGAUCUGCCUGCCUCGGGAAACUGUUUUCCUAAAUGAAACAACCCAUUGUAAACACGGGUCUGCAUUUUGUCUUUUCCUCCGUUUGCUGAACCAACUACCGAUGUUAAUGUCCUCUUUCCUUCCAGAUCCUUGGCUUUGCUUGACCUGUUUUUGGUUUUUAAUCUCUGAAGAAAUCUCAGCCCAAACUGGUUUUUUAUUAGGGUGUUUGUUCAUAACUGCUGUGUUUGACUUGCUCUUCAAGAAGUAGCUGUUAGUUUUGUUUUAUGUGUGAAACUUCAGGGAUUAAGGGACAGCGAGGGCCAGAUAUGUGCCGGCUUUUGUCUACCCAAGUCAGAGUUUAAGCACGCUGCUCUCCUGCUUUGCCACGAAUGUGCUUUUAAAUGACAAUUUUGAAAAGUCAGCUCCGGAAGAGAAGAGGGGUUAUGUUUAAGCUUUUCUUUCCAGCGAUCGGAGAGGCGGAUUGAAAUUUCUUUCUCAACUUGAAAACCAGGAGCAGAGCACUGUGUGACUAGAAGGAAACCAGGCAGCGUGCCUUCUGCCUGACGUUUACCCCUGGCGGCGGAUCCGUAAGGGAAACCCUCAAAAACACACAGACGUACAGAGAACAGCCUCCUGGCCUGGAGAGCCUCGGCAAGUUUGGGUUUCCCUGUCCGAGGACCCUGCUACCAACAGGUCCUCCUGAUCGUUGCUGCUACCUGAAGACGUGUCCUGCCGGGGAGCCCGUCUCCUGCACAUGCAGCCAGAGCCACCGGCCGGGGGUCAGCCAGCGUUCAGAAAGGCUGCCAGCCUGGCUGCUGCGUUUCCUGUCUGAUAGAUGGAUGCCCUUUGGCUGUUGGCUGUUGUCAUUGUUCGUCUGGUUUUUGUGGUGGUGGUGGUUUUCUCAGAGUGAGUGUAACAAGGAAGAAUGGUUAAUCUAGCAAGAACUCAUUACCGUGAACGAUGAAGGCUGGGCUCCUGUUUUCUUCUUAUUUGAUUUGUUUGCUUCAUUGGGGAAAACAAAUGAUCGUGUCACCCUAUGGAGAAUUUCACUUUCUCUUUGACAUAGAAAUAAACAGCCUCCCACGUUUCGUUUAUUUUUGCCGCUGCUGGAACAGUUGAUUCAAAAAACACGUUUUAUGCUGCUUUCCUAUACCAUGACCUUCACUAUUAGGUAGGGAAGGGAAACCAAUAAAAUAUGUAUAUUCUUUAAGAAACGGACGACCCUUCACUGCAGAUGCCCCUAGAAACCCAGAUAUGUCAGAGCGAGAUGGCUGAGGGGUGACAAGGCCAAACGAAACGGCAGGAGGGACGGAGUGUCUUCAUUUUCUUUUUGGCAACACGUCUUGACGAGGAGGAUUCAAUUUACAUUAAUUCAUUAGAAAAAAAAAUUAGAGCCCCUUUCUCUCCUUCUUGUCUUUCAGUUAGCAGAACGUUCCUGGUAAUGGAAUUAAAAUUCAUUUUCACUAAAACUGUGUCCAGCCUUUGGCAUAUAAAACGUAUGUGAGGUGUUGCUCGCUGGAGGGUUAUAGAUGCUGGCUCACUCGGAUCCUCCCAGGGCCACAUCCUGACUGGCAACUCUGUGGCCCCAGUGCCCAGUAGUGUGUUCACUUCCUGUUCCUAUUUCUUUACCCGCGGGCUUUUGGAGCCCAGC